AGCCUAUCUCAGUUCGGAUUGGAGGCUGAAACCCGCCUCCAUGAAGUUGGAUUCGCUAGUAAUCGCGCAUCAGCCAUGGCGCGGUGAAUACGUUCCCGGGCCUUGUACACACCGCCCGUCAAGCCAUGGGAGCUGGGGGUGCCUGAAGUUCGUGACCGCAAGGAUCGACCUAGGGCAAAAACCGGUGACUGGGGCUAAGUCGUAACAAGGUAGC
rnacentral:rRNA from 1 species